rnacentral:rRNA from 1 species
AAAGCUUAAGGUGGAGACCUUGGCACCCAGAGACGAUGAAGGGCGUUUUUUUUUUACGAAAAGCUUCGGUUAUUUUGUCUCCGGAGAUUCCCGAAUAGGAUUAACCUUUAUAACUACUGUCGAAUACAUAUACAGAUUUGAGGUAACUCGAUGAACUGAAACAUCUUAGUAAUCGUAGAAAAAAGAAAAUAAAAUAAUGAUUCCCAUAGUAGUGGUGAACAAAAAGGGAAAAGGCCUAAAGUAAAACAAACUCAAAUGAAAUUGUUAGGUAAAAUGUCUGAAUAACAUACCAUAGAAGGUGAUAGUCCUGUAGCUUAAAACAAAAAAAAAAUUGAAAAGUAGCAUGAAUAAAAACUUGUGAAUACACAAGAACCACCUUGUAAGGCUAAAUAUUCCUGGGUGACCUAUAGUGAACAAGUACCGUGAGGGAAAGGGUGAAAAGAACCUAAUAAAUUGUGGAGUGAAAUAGAGUAUAAAAACCUUAAGCAAAUUAAACUAUGGGAGAAUAAAAUUGACCAUUUACCUGUUGAAGCAUGGGCCGGCGAUUUUUGUACAGUGGUUUGGUUAAAAGAUAAAAACAUUGGAGCCAAAAUGAAAGUGAGUAACAAAAAGGCGAUUAUUAUAAUCACUAUACAAAGACCCGAAACUGGGUGAUCUAGCCAGAGCCAAGAUGAAAUUUGGAUGAAACUAAAUGGAGGUCUGCACCAGUUGAUGUGGAAAAAUCAUUGGAUGAGCUGUGGCUAGAGGUGAAAUGCCAUUCGAACCCAGAGCUAGCUGGUUUUCCCCGAAAUGUGUUGAGGCACAGCGGUUGGUCAAAAAUAUAAAGGGGUAAAGCACUGUUUGUUUUGUGAUAAACAAGAAAGACUUGUAUAUUCCAUUGUAGUAAACUAAGAAUACUUUAUAUAUAUGUUUAUAUAUGUUAUCAACUAGUGAGAUAUCUUGGGGAAAAGCUUAGAUGUCAAAAGGGAAACAGCCCAGAUCUUCAGCUAAGGCCCCAAAAUGAUUGCUAAGUGAUAAUAAAGGAGUGAGAGUGCAAAGACAGUCGAAAGGUUUGCUUAGAAGCAGCCAUCCUUAAUAGAAAGCGUAAGAGCUCAUCGAUAUAGCGAUCUUGCACUGAAAAUAAAAAGGGUCUAAGUGGUCUGCCGAAGCUAAGAGAUAAUAAACACAUCGGUAGGGGAAAAUUCUACUUAACUAAAAGUGGAAGAUAGAAUGUCGGCUUGAGUAACGAAAACAUUGGUGUGAAUCCAAUGCUCCGGAAACAAAAGGUUUCCCACGCGAGUUUCAUACUUGUGGGGUGAGUCAGAUCCUAAGGUCAGGCUGAAAAAGCGUAGCCUAUGGACAACUUUUUUUUAUUUAUGUACUAUCCUUUAUAUUUAAAAGUUGAGCGACAAAGUAGACUAGGUUAUAACCGAAUGGUGGUUAUCGGUAUGAAAAUAUAUGAUAUAUAAAAGAAAAAGAAGUUAAAUAAAAAAAACUUCUAGUCAAUUUAUUUAAAAUUUAAAAUAACUAAUGCCAUACUUUCAGGAAAAACUCAAAAAAAAAGGAUAUCUGUAUCAAAAACCGACACAGGUAGGUUGGUAUAAAAUACUAAGGGGCUCGAGACAACUCUCUAUAAGGAACUCGGCAAAAUAACUCUGUAACUUUUGGAAAAGGAGUACCAAAAAAAAGGUCGCAGUGAAAAGGCCCAGACGACUGUUUAACAAAAACACAGGUUUCCGCAAAAUUGUAAAAUUAUGUAUGGAUACUGAAGCCUGCCCAGUGCUGGAAGGUAAAAGAAAUUUGUGAUCCUAAAAUGGAGUAGCUUAUGACUAAAGCCCCGGUAAACGGCGGCCGUAACUAUGACGGUCCUAAGGUAGCGAAAUUCCUUGUCGGGUAAGUUCCGACCUGCAUGAAAGGCGUAACGAUCUGGGCACUGUCUCAUAGAGAGACUCGGUGAAAUAUAAAUGUCUGUGAAGAUGCAGACUAUCUGUACCUGGACAGAAAGACCCUAUGAAGCUUUACUUUUUUUUGAAAUUGAUUUAAAAAAAAGUUUUGUACAGUUUUAGGUGGUAGGUAUAUAAAUUUUAUUGUAUUAUGCCAUACAUGAGAGACCACUCUGGACUAUUUUUUAAAUCUAAUCUUAUGUAAGAAGCAGACAGAGAUACAGUUUCAGAUAGAUAGUUUAUAUGGGGCGUAGACCUCCUAAAGAGUAACAGAGGUGUACAAAGGUUUCUUAAAAACAAAACAAAAUUGUUUAAGAGUGCAAAGGUUAAUAAUCAAAGAAGCUUGACUGUAAGACCUACUCGUCGAGCAGGGACAAAAGUCGGUCUUAGUGAUCCGGUAGCACUGUGUGGAAAGGCUAUCGCUCAGCGGAUAAAAGUUACUCUAGGGAUAACAGGCUGAUCUUCCCCGAAAGUCCACAUUGACGGGAUGGUUUGGCACCUCGAUGUCGGCUCUUCGCUACCUGAAGCUGUAGUAUGUUUCAAGGGUUGGGCUGUUCGCCCAUUAAAGCGGUACGUGAGCUGGGUUCAGAACGUUGUGAGACAGUUCGGUCCAUAUCCAGUAUAGACGCAGAGCAUUGAAUUUAUUUUUCCUAGUACGAGAGGACUGGAAAGAAUAUACCUAUGGUGUAUCAGUUAUCGUGUCAACGGUAUACGCUGAGUAGCUAAGUAUAGAGUGGAUAAUUACUGAAAGCAUCUAAGUAGGAAGCCCUUUUUGAGAUGAGUGCUCUUUU